rnacentral:lncRNA from 10 species
AGGAAAUCCCUCUGUCAUCUGCCGCUGUUUGGGGCCAAAAGCUUGAACUGUGAUGAAUUUUGUGAAAGGGAGAACUGCCUCAUUCUGCCAAAGCCGUUCAGAAGUGAGUCACUAGCCCAGAACAGGCCCCACAUAGCUGCACCAGCUCAGACUCCAUCUAGCUGCACCUGCAGGAGCUAAGGCUCGAGGUGGACAUCGGGCCUGGGCCCCAGGGCAGAGUCAUGACCAACAGGGGGCAGCCCAGGGAGCUACUCCCCAGCCUUCAGUGGGCCCCACUUCCCUUCCCUCCUCCCCUCCCUGAAGGCCCCUCCCAGACCGCUUGGCCUCCGGCCUUGCCUCCUCCAACCUGAUCUCCUGGGGUUGCUCAAGGGUCUCCUCUAAAAAGCAAAUCCGGUCUUGUCUUUCCCCUGCCUGCCGCAUUCCGUGGCUCCUCACUGCUCUCAGGAGAAAGACCAAAGUCCCUGUGUGCUCCCAAGCCCUCUCCUGAUGAUGCAGAGGCGUGGCCCAUAGGGACUGAGAGCUGCUCACUUCAGGCAGAAGCCAGGCAUCCUGGCAGCCCCUGAGAGCCGCCCAGCUGGCCAGAAGGACCUGCUCCCAGGCCUCCCUUUCCCUGUAAUUCAUAUAUAGAAAGCAUCUAAAUCAGGAGCCAACCCUCCACCAGAGGGAGCGGCGCCCUGGAGGUGGAAGUGGAGCUUUUCUUAGUCAUUACAUUUGGUUUUGUUUUGGGGGAAAAAAACAAAAUGAAACAAUUAAGGUCUUAUUUUCACAAUCACCUGUGGAAUGAGGAGGCUUCCAGAUGGUAUUUGGUGAGAGCACCAGGAACCUUGUGGUCCUGUGAGGGCAUUCAGGGGUAGGGAGUCUAACUCAUCACCCAAUCCUCAUGGCUCCAACUUUAAACACACCCAGAAGCCUAUCUCGUCCCCCAGCCCAGCUCCGUCGCCUGCACCUGGUCCAAGCUGAGGCCCCUCUGCCCCAGCCUCCUGGUUGCCCCACUGUUUCUGCCCUGGGCCUGCUCCAGUCCCUUCUCACGGACAGCCAGAGCCAAGCCUCUGCUCCAGUAAGGGAUCUCUCCAAAGGCUCCUGUCUCCCUCCGGGUAAGGCCAGGGUCCUAAUCACGGCCCACAGAGGCCGACACCACCGCCUCUGACCUCCCUCCCUCUGUCUCCAGCUUUCCUGGGAUCCCGCCUGGGAUCCCCUCUGCCCAGCACUCAGACCUCCUGCACCAGCUGUUCCCCUGCCUGGAACAUUCUCCACUCCCCCCAGGUCCACAGGGUCUGAGCCUCAUGUCCUACAGAUGUCACUCAAAGGGUGGCCCUUCACUGGCUUCCCUGAUGGCACCACUUCCUGCCCACUGGUCCUUCUCCCCCUCCCUCACUCUGCCUCAUCUAGCCCUGGACACUCCACCAAUCUGAUACAUCUUUAUUUCUCUGUUUAUUGUCUAGUUUCCCUCCAUGCCCACCAGGAUGUAAGCUCUGAGAGCAGGGGCUUUGUUUCAUUCGCUGCCAUAAUUCCAGUACCAAGAACAAUGCCUGGCACCUCCUAGUAGGUGCUCAAUAAAUAUUUAUUGAAUGAAUGAAUGAUUGAAUUAUGUCUGUCAUUGACAGAGGGAAGUCUGGGCAACAUAGUGAGACCCCAUCUCUACCAAAACUAAAUAAUUAGCCAGGUGUGGUGGUGCAUGCCUGUAAUCCCAGCUACUCCAGAGGCUGAUACAGGAGGAUUGCUUGGUCCCAGGAGGUAGAGGCCACAGUGAGCCAUGAUCACACUGCUGCACUCCAGCCUAGGCAACAGAGAGAGAUAUAGUCUCAAAAAAAAAAAAAAAAAAAGGAAAAGAAAAAAAGAAAAGAAAAUACAUAGGGGUGGGCAGAUUUCCCCUAAGAUGCUCUAAGGAUGCCCUCUCUAGGUGCAGGAGUCAGUCUAAAGUUACCUCCUGGGGGAAGUCUUCUGUCCAGUUUUUAAAUGGAAGUUCUAGCUGCAGGCAGCAAGUCUCAUCACUGAAUAGAACCGGUUUUCAUUUGGUGCAAACACUAUCUCCUCCAGGAAGCCCUCCCAGGACCCUUCCCAGCCCCUAGUGAAAGUGCCUCCCUCCUGCUAGCCUGCCACUUUCUCCCUUGUGGUCCAUUCUGGAUGUCAGUGCCGGGCCAGUGAGCAUCCUAGCGGGCGCCUGAGUCAUACCCGGAGUGCACCUGGAGAGCCCCUUUCUGCUCACACUUUACAGGGCCCCAUGCUGGCCUCAGACACGCCCAUCUUCUCAUUUAAGCCUUACAACAACCUUCCGAGGUAGUCAUCACCAUCCCCAUCUUACAGAUAAGGAAACUGCGGUCAGAGGCCACAGAGGUGACUUACCCGAGCCCCACACCUGGUGUCACAGUGGAGUGGAGCCUGGCUCCUUGGCCCUGAGUUCAGCCCCCAUCACAGCUGCCGAAUUCACAGUCAGUGCUCAACACGUGUUCACGUGUUUGGAGGACGAACCAAACCCGAGUUCUCGGGGCUCCCCAGCCAGCAUGAAGACCGUGUAACCACAGCACGCAUGGGCGGGCCGCUUGGCAAUGGCCAGGCUCAUGCUCUACUGAGCCCCUGGGGGUCACGACUCCCCUGCUGCUCUGUGCAGAGAAAGAAAAGGCAGUCACCUCUCUCUUCCCUCACUGGAAGGUGAGGCCCAGGGGGUCCGGCCUGUGGGAUGUGAAGAAGCCACACAUUGGUGCCCAUCACCUGGUCCUCAGCCUCUCCUUAGGGCAGAGUCGAGGCCCAGAAGGUUGAAAGAGCUGGAAGCUGGGGAAGAGCCUGCACCAGUGCCUUUGCCUCUUAUCAACCUGGUGAGCAGGAAGUACAGGAUCGUUUUGAAUUCAGCAGAUUUUGAAUAAUGCCAGAUCAGGAGUGGAUCUCUGGGGUAAGAUGCAAUGGUCCCACACACUUAUAUGUCACCAGAGUCCACUCUUUGGGGAACAGCAAUUUGACGGAACAUGUCAAGAGCUUGUGAAAAUAAGUAAUUCACAUUCGACCUGUUACCCAGAAAAAAACCGGGGUUCAUUCACCUGGUGAAUCUCAAACGGCUCUCCACGAGAACGCAGGUUUGGAUCAGUAGGAGUUUUAUGACUCGCCACAGUCCUUGGAGGGACUCUCUGGAAUUUCCUUAUCUGACCUAGAAAGUGUCUUGCCAAAAGAAACACAUUUGCCUUCUGUCCGUCUGAUACCCCAUUAUCCACUGCAGAAAAGAAGCCGGAAGAAAAGAAGUCAGAAGUCCAACCACAGCUGGAUGGACUUUUCCACAACAUAAUGUCUGCCUCUCAGACUCAUUCCAUUCACAAGUUGAUUUCUGUCUCCCUGAUCCAUUCAUUCUCCUUAAUAAUCAUUUACUGCUCCUCAAAACAAUGCUCUAUGUUUCCCAUCUCCUCGCUCCCCUGGGAAAAAGAGUACAUAAGCUUCUGUACCCCAUUGGGGGAUUGGGGUAAUCACACUGUAAUUCUCUCCCAUGAAUGUUAAUAAAUGUGUAUCCUUUUUCUCCUACUAAUCUGCCUUUUGUCAGGUGAUUUUCAGUGAACCUUCAGAAGGAAAAGGGGAAGUUUUCCCUUCACCCAUAUGCAGGCAUGUAAAGAUGUUCAUUGCAGUGCUGUUUAUAGCAGAGAAAAUGGCAAACACAAUCAAACAAUAGGGGGAUAGUUAAGAAAAAAAUGCACAGUUGCAGUUAGACUGGUCUCUACCGGCAGGGAGGUUUUUUUUCACCCUUUUUGAUUCUCACAGCAGCCCUAUGAUGUAGACAAAACCGGGUUCACAUUUAUUCUCCCCAUUAUUCAUGGGGGUGGGGGCCAGGAUGCAGACUGAGUUUUGAGAAAUUCUGGGCAGAGCUUCCAACAGGGAAUCAGAUUCUGAACUGGGACAGCUCCCAGGUGUCCUAAAGCGGAAUCCAGAGCUGACUCACAGCAGCGUGUGUCUGACAGGGGGAUCCAGCGGCAAGUCCCUACUCUUGGAUAAAGAUGAAACCACCUUUGCGAAAAUUAUGACAGAGGCCGGGCACGGUGGCUCACACCUGUUAUCCCAGCACUUUGGGAGGCCAAGGCAG